CCUGUAGUUCCCUGGAUCUUCCUUUUUUUACCUGCUUGAAAACGGGGGUCAUGCUUCCCCUUUUCCAUUCAGCUGGAACCUCACUAGACUGCCAUGACCUUUCAAAAAUAAUGGAGAAGCAUGCAGAAGAAGAGGAAGGAAGGGAAGGCACUCUCUGCAUGCAAAAUCUAUCCCUGCUGCACCAUGACAUUAAAUUUCUGAGCCACCAAGUGUGGCACUGAGGCUGCUUUUGUUUUCUUGGCAGCUGCUAAAUGACCAGGGCUCCUUGGUGAUGUUGCAAAACAAAUAGCAUUAAGUGACAAAGUUAAAAAUAAUUGUGCUUGGUCACGUUAAUGGUGUGUAAGGAAUAUUGCAAGGAUUUUUCCAGUAGCCAAGGUGAGAAGUGUGUAACCCCAGCAUGUGUUACAUGCUCUAUGGCCUAGUGGCAGCCUGUCAUAACAAAGAGACUUUUACAUACAAGAAGUAUAAUCACACAGUCUGAAGUGGGUGUAUCACUUUCCAUGGGCUAUCCUGGUGACUGCUAUUGUGACUGACCUUUUUAUUUAUAUUUUAAAAAUCCCUGUCAGCAGUGUGCUUUGCUUCCUGCAAGCCUGAAAGGAGAAGGAAAUUACAGGCUGACUCAGACGCACAAUGCACUGGAUUCAAUGAACAAGCAUCUAAUGGUACGUAAGUCCUGUCCUCACUCAUGCACACACAGAGAGCACAGCCCUGCCCUUCACUGAACAGUGAACACUGAAGAUGACUCACUACCUACUGCUGGAGCUACCACAAAUGUCUCCUUUAAACCUACUCAAUAGUUUGCUAUCGGUGAGAUUUUCUGCCUACAGUUGUGGCCAUCUCUGCUCUGACUGAACACUGCGUGUGACCCUGGCCACAGAUGGAAACCUCCUUAUGAAAAUAUAAGCACAGAACAACAAUUGAGAGAAGCAUUCAUAAAGGAAAAAGUCAACAGUUUCUUUGAAAAUGCUGCAGCAUUUGAACAGGUUUGGUUUUUUUUCCCAUUAAAAAAUAAAUCUUUUAUCUGUCAGACCAGGUCUGCUAUGUUUGAAUCUUGUAUGAUAAUAUAU